CCAUCAUUAAGUUGGGCACUCUAAGUUGACUGCCGGUGACAAACCGGAGGAAGGUGGGGAUGACGUCAAAUCAUCAUGCCCCUUAUGAUUUGGGCUACACACGUGCUACAAUGGACAAUACAAAGGGCAGCGAAACCGCGAGGUCAAGCAAAUCCCAUAAAGUUGUUCUCAGUUCGGAUUGUAGUCUGCAACUCGACUACAUGAAGCUGGAAUCGCUAGUAAUCGUAGAUCAGCAUGCUACGGUGAAUACGUUCC
rnacentral:rRNA from 2 species